GACUUCAACAUCAUAGCAUUUCUUUUCUACGGAGGAAGCAAUGGAAACUUCAGGAGGUUUUGCACUCGGUGUGAUAGAGAGCUGAGUACAAGUGCGUGUCGCCAGGAGAGAGACAGGGACAGAGGAAGGUGAGGCCCGGCCGUGGGGACGCGGGCUCCCCUCCUGGCACCGUGCCACUGGACUCCAUUUGGCUUGCUCCAGCGUCAUUAGUCCCCGCACAUCAAGGUGACUUUACGCUGUUUACAAGGGCCACUGAAGGUACAGUCCUCCCUGCCCCCGCUCGCUUAUCAACUCAUUUAACUUUCAGAGCUCCCUAACAGCCUGCCGCCGGAAGGGGCGGGCAGGGGGCCCGCCAUCCGCCCGAGGACGGCCUGCCUUCAUUUUAUCUGCAAAGAAAAAUCUAUCUGCUCGGGAAUAGACCUAAAUACAACACAUCGGUGCAGCAAGGCCAUUAAUCAUCUCCCACCGGGACGCGGGACGCCGGGGAGCAGCCAUCGUGGGCACCGGCUCUGCACAGGAGGGCCAGGUGGAGGGAGCCAGGGACACUGCCCGCUCGUCCGUCUGGAGGGCAUUCUCCGGCGAUGGGGGUAGCACAGCCCCAGGCUGGUGACAUCUUGCACGGGAGGAGUGGGGGGAGGGGCAGUCUGACCCCAUCCCAGGUGGUCAGGCCUGAACGGAGGUGCUCCACUGAAGCAAAUACCCCCACUCCCUCCACCACCACCAGGUGCGAAACACCUCCUGACCAGGAACACAGUUUGCCAGGGACCAGCCAGGCCCAGCAAUUUGACACAGGCCUACAAUCCCCUGGAGGCAUCCCAUACUCUUCUUAGAGGAAGGACAACUGAGGCAGAGCCAAGUCAUCAAAGCCCCGCCCCCAGACCCCAGGACUAUGUGCCUCAGUGUGUCAGUGGAAAUGUUCACACACUGGUCUCCCUCCCGGGCCUGCAGCUUCUAGAGGGUGAGGACUUGUUUUUUCAUGCAUCCUGGAGAAUCAUUGUUGAGAAUCUACAAUGUGCUGCUAUGUGGUCUGUGCUGGUAGCUGAAGACAGUGAGAUGAGCCUUGGAAGAGUCUAUACAUCCAAGCAAAUAAACUGUGAUACAACAGGCCAAGAUUUAUUAGAAUCAUAUAAGCAAUGUACUGAGCGACAGCAAUCCAUGGAACAACUGGAUCUCCCUAAGAGGAGGCAAAAGAAGGCUUCACUGGCAAGGCAAUCCUUGAGCGGGGUUUUGAAGGAUGAGUAAGAGUCUGCCAGGGAAGAAAAGGCGAAAGGCAAGGGUGGACCAGAGGCCCAGCCAUGAUGCUCCAAAGCAUCAUUAGUAGGAGCGAUGGCUCCUGUGUCACCAAUUGUGAAUUGUUGG